rnacentral:lncRNA from 1 species
GUCCAAUUCGUCAGCCGUCAUCGGGUAAAAACGACAAAUCAAAGAAUUCAACUCUAUAUAUAACUAAUAUAGGACAAUGGUGUAGAUUAAAAAUUACACCACUCCAGACCCUUUUGUUUUCCACAUAAUUAAUAUUGCCAAUAAUUAACAAGUUCCGGGUCUAAUCCGAUACCGAUACCAAUAGUAUAUACACCUGUUAGCUAUUACCUUAUCUGUACGUUCCGCAUUUGACAGGCGCACCACCAAACGGUGUAUUUAGGAUUUUGCUAUAUACACGGGUCAUAAUCAAAGGGCUGACACUACUAAAUUCAAUCAUUGUCAAAUUGUUCCCUAUUGUAGCUUUAUUCAGCAAUCAGCAAGACUUUCUAAGAUAACUAAUAUAGGACAAUGCUGUUGAUUAAAAAAUAC